UACUCCGGAUUGGACAUGUAGCUCCCCACGGUUUUGCUCGCUGCCAGAGGAAACUCUCUCUGAAAGUGCUUUAGCGUCGAAAGUCCUCCGCUUUGCUCUGCCUCGACGUCUACCACUGGAAUUGGUAUAUUGUACCACUCAAUGGUUCUUUGAUUGACUUUGCCUCAGAGCGUGCCUCUUGGUGGAAGGAGUUCUGGCGCAGCUCUUCGUUAGAUCUUGUCUCGCUGACGGGACUGCACUGGGCCUAAGUACCCUUGGCCUAAUUCAACGAGCACCGCUUCCUCGAACUUGGUGAAGGGAUUUUAGCGAUGAGCUUCGCGUAGCUGUGCGUUCGCGAAAUGUCCUUGCGAGCGUUUGAUAACCCCUUGCCCCGCGACCGUUCGUUGAAUGUCACUGUUGAACUCAUUCUCUUCGCGACCAAUUUGCUCGCAGCCCUGCGCUCUUCGCCCUCUCUUCGCUCGCGGCCGCUCGCUUAGCGGUCGCUCGCCG
rnacentral:lncRNA from 1 species